UCUCUCUCUCUCUCUCGAUUUGGGUGGAUUCCUUUGUCUGGGUUUACGUUUGAUUUUCGCGUGAUGUUAUCUCUUUUCUGAUUUACACAUUUCUUGGCUUGUGAUUUACGAAUUUGGAUGUUUUGCUAGUUGAAUCUCUCUGUUUAGCAAAAUUAUGGCUCUAAUUUACAGUGUUGAUCUCUCAAGAUCUGUUUAGGGUUUGCCAUUUGGGUUUGCGAUUUUGCAUUUGUAUUUGUGAUUUUGCUGGUUGUGAGUUUUCUGAUUCUUUGUGAUUCUGUUGGUCUAGGGUUUUAAUUUGAUUUCACAUUGAUGCAUUCAUUAUUUGGGUCAUUGAGUUUGCACUUGAAAUUUUCAUGCUUUCAUUUUCGGCGCUUAUGCAAGAUCCUGAUCUUCACCCCCACCAUCCUGCCCACAUCUUUGACCACUGUUUUGACCCUUUUUAUCUAAAUUAUUUUUUGAACUGUUAGUUUCUAGGGUUAUGCUUACAAACCAUUCUAAAUUAUUUUUUGAACUGUUAGUUUCGAGCUGUCUUCAACAUUUGUUGGAUACAAAUCACAUACUAAACGCUAGCUGACCAAAGAGCAAGCUGUGAAUUCCCAAAGAGCAACACAACCAGAACCAAUGCUAGUGAUCCAUACAGGCAGGGAAAUCAAAACCCUAGAAUUCAGUGAUGACCAUGAUAAACUAAACUGAAAGAGAGGGAGAAAAAAAAAGAGAGAGAGGAAUCAGAGACGCUGUUUGUCUCCCUCUCAACCUUUGAUCAUGGUUUUGCUGCUGCUUUUAAUUUUUUAUUCUUUUUUAUCUUUGGUUUGUGUGUUGGAAAUAAACCCACCACCCCCACAGCAUCUCAAAGGGACUCAUCCAGUCAUCCUUCCACCUCCACCUCCCCCUUUAAAAUAAUAUUUUGUAAUCUUAUCUCUUUCUCAUCUCAUUAAAAAUUUAAAAAAUCUAAUACAGCUAUUAUUUCCCUGGCAGCACAUGAGAUCAAUGCUUCCCUAUAGCUAAGAAAGCUGUGGCAUAAGUACAGUUUGACCAAAAUUGUGAUCUCUUGUUAGGAUCAUUUGUCAAAAAUGCUAGUGCUGCUGAUUUGAUACAACGGAGACAGCGUUCUGAGUUUCAAUCAAGUAUCAAGGGAACCCUUUAUACUGGUAUAAAGGGAAAUCCAGACCUCAUCUCACCGCUAUUAACUUUGGCACUGAAUGAUACCAUGACUUAUGAUAAGGUCAGACAAAAUCCCAUGUUCAGCUAGGACAACCGUGGAUGCUGUUGGCCAGUCUCAACCACAUCCUUGCAUUUGAAGCUUAGUUGGAAUUUUGUUUAUUACAAUGGAUAUUGUAUUAGUUUAAUUAGCUGCUGUGAUGUAUUAUUAUUUAUUUUAUUCUUUGUAAAUUUAUAUUUUGCAUUAUGAUGUAACAACAAUAUUAUCUAGUUUGUAUUUUUAUUUA